AAUGUACAUGUAAUAAGCUAGUAUUUCUUAACUUAAUGCGCUGUCUUUGAUUAAUCUAUGUUGAGGACCAAUCUUUCACAACUAAUGUUCAUGUUCUAAGGCCAUAAUAAAUAAUAGGUUUGUUUGCCGAAACGCUACCUACCCAGAAAAAAGCUGCCUACUCAAAUUCUUUUAUUGUCCUGAUUUGAAGAAGUUUUUUUUUUAAUCAAAUAGGCAUGAAGACUAAUAAACAUCUGAUACUUCAAUUUCUUUUCUACCUACCUACCCACUGUCUCAACCUUUGGGUAGGGUUUGGGUAAACCAAAAUAUUUUAAGUGUGGCCUAAGCUACUACUUCUUAAUUUUUUGUUUGUAAAGACUUUGAUUAAUUAAUGGUGAGGACUUAAUUUCUACUGACUAAUGUACAUAAACUAAGCUACUAUUUCUUAACUUUAUGCUCUGUCUUUGAUUAUUAAAUGGUGACGAAAUGCAGUGGCAGAUCCAGGGAAAAGGGGGAGGGUGUGUGUUCAGGGGUUUGACACCCCCUCUUUAUCUUGGCGAUCAAUACAUUUGAAUGGGGACAAAUGAUUGGAACCCCCUUUUAAAAAUGACUGGAUCUGCCCCUGAAUUGGUCAAUAUAAACUUGCUACGCUACUUUUUCAUACUUAAAAGUAUGCUCCGACUUUGAUUAUUAAAUGGUGGCGAGCACUAGUAACAAAUUGCAGUGGCAGAUCCAAGGAAAAAGGGGGGGGGGGGUUCAGGGGUUUGGAACCCCCUCUUUAUCUUGGCGAUCAAUACAUUUUAAUGGGGACAUAUGAUUGGAACCCCCUUUUAAAAAUGACUAGAUCUGCCCCUGAAUUGGUAAAUAUAAACUUGCUACACUACUUUUUCAUACUUAAAGUAUGCUCCGACUUUGAUUAUUCAAUCUUGAGGAGCAUUUGUUAAUGAUUGGUCAGGAUAAAGUUUACGUUAGGUAAAUAUGUCUGAUUGAACAUUAUACCAUGUAACUUUAAGUAUAUAAAGUUCAGUUUGGAAGCAUUAGCAAAAAGUUUGACUAGGUCUAUCUCACUAUGUCUAUCUCAUGGUUAUGACCAGACUGCAAUGUUGAAUUCUUGCACAAAGUCAUGCAGCCGAAUAUUUUUUAUUAAAGUACUCAACAUGCAUUAACCAAAAAUAUCUCAUGCCUGUCUUUCAGAUUCAAACAAAACUUCAAUAAGCUACGAAAAUGUCAAUUAAUAUUGUAAUGAUUUUAUGGUUAAUGGGUCCUGCCUGGAAAAAUUAUGCAUGCUUUAUGUAAAAAGAAGGAAUUAAUGUACAUUUUUGUAGCUCUACACCGGUAAAUCAUGCUGUAAGAACAUUAAAUAUUUCAUUUCAAUGUAAAACAUUUGUUUUUGUAUAUAUAAAUGCAAUGCUGCCCAUCAAAGGUCGUUAAUUAGGCAGCAACCAUUUGAUUUUCGGGGGGGGGGCUAUGGUUUUUUUUUCUGUACAAACUUUUUUUUUCGCCUGUGGCGAAAAACAAU
rnacentral:lncRNA from 1 species